rnacentral:rRNA from 1 species
UACGAAGGGGGCUAGCGUUGCUCGGAAUUACUGGGCGUAAAGCGCACGUAGGCGGAUUGUUAAGUCGGGGGUGAAAUCCUGGAGCUCAACUCCAGAACUGCCUUCGAUACUGGCGAUCUCGAGUUCGGGAGAGGUGAGUGGAACUGCGAGUGUAGAGGUGAAAUUCGUAGAUAUUCGCAAGAACACCAGUGGCGAAGGCGGCUCACUGGCCCGGUACUGACGCUGAGAUACGAAAGCGUGGGGAGCAAACAGG